GCGGGUGUGGCGGAAUUGGUAGACGCACCAGAUUUAGGUUCUGGCGCCGAGAGGCGUGGAGGUUCAAGUCCUCUCACCCGCACCA
rnacentral:tRNA from 2 species